UACGUAGGGGGCAAGCGUUAUCCGGAAUUACUGGGUGUAAAGGGUGCGUAGGUGGCAAGGUAAGUCAGUUGUGAAAACUUGGGGCUCAACCUCAAGAUUGCAACUGAAACUACCUAGCUAGAGUGCAGGAGAGGAAAGUGGAAUUCCGAGUGUAGCGGUGAAAUGCGUAGAGAUUCGGAGGAACACCAGUAGCGAAGGCGACUUUCUGGACUGUAACUGACACUGAGGCACGACAGCGUGGGGAGCAAACAGG
rnacentral:rRNA from 1 species